UACAGAGGGGGCAAGCGUUGUUCGGAAUUACUGGGCGUAAAGGGCGCGUAGGUGGCCUUCUAAGUUGAACGUGAAAUCCCUGGGCUCAACCCAGGAACUGCGUCCAAGACUGGGAGGCUUGAAUCCGGGAGAGGGAUGCGGAAUUCCAGGUGUAGCGGUGAAAUGCGUAGAUAUCUGGAGGAACACCGGAGGUGAAGACGGGUUGCUGGGCCAACACUGACGCUGAUGCGCGAAAGCCAGGGGAGCAAACGGG
rnacentral:rRNA from 1 species